CCAAAGUCAUGGUUAAGUGGGAAACGAUGUGGGAAGGCCCAGACAGCCAGGAUGUUGGCUUAGAAGCAGCCAUCAUUUAAAGAAAGCGUAAUAGCUCACUGGUCGAGUCGGCCUGCGCGGAAGAUGUAACGGGGCUAAACCAUGCACCGAAGCUGCGGCAGCGACGCUUAUGCGUUGUUGGGUAGGGGAGCGUUCUGUAAGCCUGCGAAGGUGUGCUGUGAGGCAUGCUGGAGGUAUCAGAAGUGCGAAUGCUGACAUAAGUAACGAUAAAGCGGGUGAAAAGCCCGCUCGCCGGAAGACCAAGGGUUCCUGUCCAACGUUAAUCGGGGCAGGGUGAGUCGACCCCUAAGGCGAGGCCGAAAGGCGUAGUCGAUGGGAAACAGGUUAAUAUUCCUGUACUUGGUGUUACUGCGAAGGGGGGACGGAGAAGGCUAUGUUGGCCGGGCGACGGUUGUCCCGGUUUAAGCGUGUAGGCUGGUUUUCCAGGCAAAUCCGGAAAAUCAAGGCUGAGGCGUGAUGACGAGGCACUACGGUGCUGAAGCAACAAAUGCCCUGCUUCCAGGAAAAGCCUCUAAGCAUCAGGUAACAUCAAAUCGUACCCCAAACCGACACAGGUGGUCAGGUAGAGAAUACCAAGGCGCUUGAGAGAACUCGGGUGAAGGAACUAGGCAAAAUGGUGCCGUAACUUCGGGAGAAGGCACGCUGAUAUGUAGGUGAAGCGACUUGCUCGUGGAGCUGAAAUCAGUCGAAGAUACCAGCUGGCUGCAACUGUUUAUUAAAAACACAGCACUGUGCAAACACGAAAGUGGACGUAUACGGUGUGACGCCUGCCCGGUGCCGGAAGGUUAAUUGAUGGGGUCAGCGCAAGCGAAGCUCUUGAUCGAAGCCCCGGUAAACGGCGGCCGUAACUAUAACGGUCCUAAGGUAGCGAAAUUCCUUGUCGGGUAAGUUCCGACCUGCACGAAUGGCGUAAUGAUGGCCAGGCUGUCUCCACCCGAGACUCAGUGAAAUUGAACUCGCUGUGAAGAUGCAGUGUACCCGCGGCAAGACGGAAAGACCCCGUGAACCUUUACUAUAGCUUGACACUGAACAUUGAGCCUUGAUGUGUAGGAUAGGUGGGAGGCUUUGAAGUGUGGACGCCAGUCUGCAUGGAGCCGACCUUGAAAUACCACCCUUUAAUGUUUGAUGUUCUAACGUGGACCCGUAAUCCGGGUUGCGGACAGUGUCUGGUGGGUAGUUUGACUGGGGCGGUCUCCUCCUAAAGAGUAACGGAGGAGCACGAAGGUUGGCUAAUCCUGGUCGGACAUCAGGAGGUUAGUGCAAUGGCAUAAGCCAGCUUGACUGCGAGCGUGACGGCGCGAGCAGGUGCGAAAGCAGGUCAUAGUGAUCCGGUGGUUCUGAAUGGAAGGGCCAUCGCUCAACGGAUAAAAGGUACUCCGGGGAUAACAGGCUGAUACCGCCCAAGAGUUCAUAUCGACGGCGGUGUUUGGCACCUCGAUGUCGGCUCAUCACAUCCUGGGGCUGAAGUAGGUCCCAAGGGUAUGGCUGUUCGCCAUUUAAAGUGGUACGCGAGCUGGGUUUAGAACGUCGUGAGACAGUUCGGUCCCUAUCUGCCGUGGGCGCUGGAGAACUGAGGGGGGCUGCUCCUAGUACGAGAGGACCGGAGUGGACGCAUCACUGGUGUUCGGGUUGUCAUGCCAAUGGCACUGCCCGGUAGCUAAAUGCGGAAGAGAUAAGUGCUGAAAGCAUCUAAGCACGAAACUUGCCCCGAGAUGAGUUCUCCCUGACUCCUUGAGAGUCCUGAAGGAACGUUGAAGACGACGACGUUGAUAGGCCGGGUGUGUAAGCGCAGCGAUGCGUUGAGCUAACCGGUACUAAUGAACCGUGAG
rnacentral:rRNA from 1 species